GGCGAACGGGUGCGUAACACGUGGGCAAUCUGCCGAAAAGUGGGGGAUAGCUCGCCGAAAGGCGAAUUAAUACCGCAUGUGGUCAGGGAAGACAUCUUUCCGAAUCCAAAGCCGGGGCAACCUGGCGCUUUUUGAGGAGCCCGCGGCCUAUCAGCUAGUUGGUGAGGUAACGGCCCACCAAGGCUAUGACGGGUAGCUGGUCUGAGAGGACGACCAGUCACACUGGAACUGAGACACGGUCCAGACACCUACGGGUGGCAGCAGUCGAGAAUUUUUCUCAAUGGGGGAAACCCUGAAGGAGCGACGCCGCGUGGAGGAUGAAGGCUUUCGGGUUGUAAACUCCUGUCAUUUGGGAACAAGGUGCACCGGUUAACUGCCGGAGUAUUGAUAGUACCAGAAGAGGAAGAGACGGCUAACUCUGUGCCAGCCGCCGCGG
rnacentral:rRNA from 1 species